rnacentral:tRNA from 1 species
GGGCGGGUAGCUCAGUGGUAGAGCGUCGGCCUUACAAGCCGAAUGUCGUGGGUUCAAUCCCCACCCCGCCCA